rnacentral:lncRNA from 1 species
AUUCAUUUCAAUGGAUAAGAAUCAAAGUAGAGAUAGUGAAAUAGCCUAAAUGCAGCAGUCGAAUAAAUGAGUUGAUAAAUUUUUAUCAAUGAUUACAUCUUUUUUUCUUUUCUUCCUCUAUGCAUAUAGCUUUGGAGUUUAACCCUUCUGCCAAUCCAGAGGCAAGCACAAUAUUCCAGAGGAACUCUCAAACAGAUGUUGUAGAAAUAAGAAGAAGCAACUGUACAAACCAUUGUGACCUUGGAGAUACCUCAUCAUAUCACACAAAGAGAUGCAGAUAGAUCUUUGAGCAUACCUGAUGAACAGUUACACUCAUUUGCGG